rnacentral:rRNA from 1 species
GACAGCAGUCGCCGCGGGAAUACAGAGGGUGCGAGCGUUAAUCGGAUUUACUGGGCGUAAAGCGUGCGUAGGCGGCUUCUUAAGUCGGAUGUGAAAUCCCUGAGCUUAACUUAGGAAUUGCAUUCGAUACUGGGAAGCUAGAGUAUGGGAGAGGAUGGUAGAAUUCCAGGUGUAGCGGUGAAAUGCGUAGAGAUCUGGAGGAAUACCGAUGGCGAAGGCAGCCAUCUGGCCUAAUACUGACGCUGAGGUACGAAAGCAUGGGGAGCAAACAGGAUUAGAUACCCCCGUAGUCCCUGUCUCUUAUAC